rnacentral:pre_miRNA from 1 species
GAUUUCAAUUGAAAAAGUCAUCAACAACAAAGUUGAAUAACUCAUCAAGAUCUAAAACUUUUAUUUUGGGUCAUUUCUUCAUACGAUAAAGUGAUAGUAACAUUGUUCACAAAAUUGACAUAUCUCUUAUCUGGUUUUAUAAACUAUAACACAUAUAUGUAAAAUUUAUGAAUAAUAUUACUAACAUUUUGUUGGAUAAAUAAAUAACAAAAAUAAAAGUUCUAGAUCUUGAUAAGUUAUUCAACUUUGUUGUUGACGACUUUUUCAAUUGAAAUC